AUCCAGCCAGCUCUUGGGAUGGACAAGUCCUCAAAUGCACGCCAUGAGUUUCUUCCCAUGAUCGCUCUGCGGGGAGCCAGCUGACAUAUUGUGAGGACACUCAAGCAGCCUAUGGAGCAGUCCACACAUUGAGAAACAGGCCUCCUGCUAACAGCCAGCAAGCAAUGAGGCCGUUUUCAACAGCCAUGUGAGUGAUCCAGUUUUGAAAAUGCAUCCUCCGGCCCUGUCAAGCUUUCAGAUGACUGCAUCCCCGGUGGACAUCUUGGUGGCAGCUUCAUGAGAAACCUCGAGCCAGAACCGGCCAGAACUACCAUCACGUAUCCUGAAUCUCCAGUCUGCUCCGACUGCAGAGCUGUCUCCCCACUCAUGCCUCUGUGGACUUCUCUCUACUGCGUGCAUUUCCAGUGAUUCAGGAAUUUGAAGAAAGAACAUGCCUCGUAAAGG